GAUGAACGCUGGCGGCGUGCCUAACACAUGCAAGUCGAACGGAGUAUUAUGAAGCCUUCGGGCGGAUUAAUACUUAGUGGCGGACGGGUGAGUAACGCGUGGGUAACUUGCCUCAUACAGGGGGAUAACAGCCGGAAACGGCUGCUAAAACCGCAUAACAUUGCGACACCGCAUGGUGAUGCAAUUAAAUAUUUAUAGGUAUGAGAUGGGCCCGCGUCUGAUUAGCUAGUUGGUAGGGUAACGGCCUACCAAGGCGACGAUCAGUAGCCGGCUUGAGAGAGUGACCGGCCACAUUGGGACUGAGACACGGCCCAAACUCCUACGGGAGGCAGCAGUGGGGAAUAUUGCACAAUGGGGGAAACCCUGAUGCAGCGACGCCGCGUGAGUGAAGAAGUAUUUCGGUAUGUGAAGCUCUAUCAGCAGGGAAGAAAAUGACGGUACCUGACUAAGAAGCCCCGGCUAACUACGUGCCAGCCGCCGCAGUAACAC
rnacentral:rRNA from 1 species